ACCAUAGAAAUUGCACAAUAUUGCAAGAGGGUGUGUUCUUCAAUUAAUGAAAGCCAAAAUGGCCAUCUCUAAUACUACUACUCAAUUAAUGGAAGACACAGUCGAUGGAUCCGUUGACUACAAAGGCCGGCCAGUCCUUCGAUCAAGCUCUGGCCGAUGGAGAUCAGCUUCUUUCAUCAUAGCUGUGGAGGUGGCGGAGAGGUUUGCAUAUUAUGGGAUAUCUUCCAACCUUAUAACGUACCUAACCGAUUCUCUUGGCCAGUCCACUGCAACUGCGGCUGAGAAUGUGAACACUUGGUCAGGCACCGCUACUCUUCUGCCGCUUUUAGGAGCCGUUGUGGCGGAUUCUUUUCUUGGCCGCUACCGUACAAUUAUUGCUGCGUCUGUCGUCUACAUCUUGGGACUAGGCUUAUUGACUCUAUCAGCUGCCCUAAUUUCUGUUGACGCUUCUGAUUUUGAGGACACCAAAAAUGGCACAUCAUCUUCUCCUCCUUGGUUUCAAGUAAUCUUGUUCUUCUUUUCUCUAUAUCUAGUAGCUGUUGGGCAAGGUGGCCACAAACCUUGUGUUCAGGCCUUUGGAGCUGAUCAAUUUGAUGGACAAGAUCCAAAGGAAAGUAUAGCAAAGAGCUCAUUUUUCAAUUGGUGGACUUUUAGCUUAUCUGUAGGCAUUGUGGUAUCACUUGUAGUUGUAGUUUACAUCCAAGAUAACCUUAAUUGGGUUCUUGGAUUUGGAAUCCCCUGCAUUGUGAUGUUAGCUGCACUAGUUGUUUUCUUGCUUGGAAGUACAACUUACAGAUACAGCAUCAAGGGAAAUGAGAGAAACCCAUUUGUAAGAAUUGGUAGUGUAAUUUUUAGAGCAGCUAGGAAUUGGAGAAGUAAUCCUUCAGGCAUUGCUGCAGAGGACGAAGCUUACUUGUGUGAUCAAAGUUCUGAGCAAAUCAAGUAAGAUACUGUAGAGGGAUUUAAUUUUUUGUCAAUUUUAGCUCUAAUUGAGACUCAAACUCGAAAUCUUAUAUUCGUAGAGAUGGCUCCAAUACAAUUGAGUGAAAGUUUAUUGGUUGGAGGAAUUCUCUCUAGUGUCUUCUAACUUUGAAAUUCUUGUGUCAUGGAAGGUUCCUCAACAAAAUGCUGCUAGAGCCUAAUGGUUUAAUGGAAGAUCAAGAGGUGUGCAAUGUGAGGGAUGUGGAAGAAGCCAAGGCAUUGUUGAGGCUUAUUCCAAUAUGGGUUACAAACUUGACUUAUGCAAUUGUGUAUGCACAAGCCUCAACUUUAUUCACAAAGCAAGGAUUUACAAUGGAUAGAACAAUCUUCCCAGGGUUUCAAAUUCCAGCUGCUUCACUUCAAACUUUUAUCGCCUUAACCAUUGUUCUCUUCGUUCCAAUAUAUGACCGUAUUUUUGUUCCUCUGGCAAGAUCUUUAACCGGGAAUUCCUCCGGCAUUUCAAAGCUUCAAAGAAUUGGAAUCGGAAUGUUUGUGUCUGUUCUUUCUAUGGUAAUUGCAGCUUUAGUUGAGAAGAAAAGACUUGAAACUGCUAAAGAAUAUGAUUUGCUUGAUCUGCCAAAUGCAACAAUUCCAAUGUCAUUUUGGUGGCUAGUUCCUCAGUACUUGCUCUUUGGUGUUGCUGAAGUGUUCAUCCUAAUUGGGCUUCAAGAAUUUUUCUAUGAUCAAGUUCCAAAAGAUUUAAGAAGUGUGGGUCUCUCACUCUACCUUAGUGUGAUAGGUGUUGGGAGCUUUCUAAGCAGCUUUAUUGUGUCUGUUGUUGACAAAGCAACAGAUAGAGAUGGCAAAGAGAGCUGGUUCUGUAACAAUCUUAACAGAGCACAUCUUGAUUAUUUCUAUUGGCUACUUGCAGCGGUUAGUGCAGCAGGAUUCAUUUUGUACUUGAAUUUUGCUAGAUCAUACAUUUAUAGGAAUGCAACUUGAAAUUAGAUGUGUUCAUAUAACAUUGCUACUGUUAUUGAAAACCAUAAUUAAGCUAUUUGAUGAUAUAUAUUUUAAUUUCAACUCAACUGGAUUGCUUCGAUUAAAU
rnacentral:misc_RNA from 1 species